GUUGUUUUUGAAAUUUUCGACCGAGCGAAACGACCGCAGCGGAACAUCGAGCGCACGAACUCGGAACUAUCGCUGAAGCCAAACGCCGCGUGUGAUCGAAAAUCCGCAAAGUCAAGCUAAACAAAAUCGAAGGGAAGCUGCGAGGUAAUUGAACGCCACCCGCUGCCCGCCCCCUCUAGCCACGCCCCGCGGCCGUGUGAUAACAAAGAUAAUGCAAUAAAAGGCAGUAAAAAGCUGCGAGAGAGCCAAGAAACGUGACCCAGGCAAAAUUUGUUUGUUUGUCUGCCUCUGCUUGCUGCAUUUUACAUACAUACAUAGUAUAAACGUGCGUGCGAUUGUGUGUGUGUGUGAGCAGUCGUCGCGUAGUAGUAGUAGUAACACAGCAAACAACAACAAAUUCGUCUCGCGUUUUUUACAAUAAUAAUUUUGAAAAUUACCAAAUUGUACCCCUCUAACCCUCUUACACUCUCUCUCUCGCACACACACGCACGAUUAUUACCCCCGGCGCGUUUUCGUCUGUCUCACUCUCGCAAAGGCGGAAGAGUUAAACAAAAAAAAAAUAAAUAUUUUAAAUAAUAAAUAAAAACAAAAACUGCCAUUGUCGCUGCAGAAAAUUUGUGCAUUUUCCAAGUUCUCCACAAUGUCCUCAAAUCUCAUUUAAAUAAGUAAAAAGUGUAAGAAGCGACGCGAACGAAAGUAAUUGCGUUGAAUAGAAGCACGCCAAACAGCAACAAAUGGCCAACAAUUGAAUGGCGGCCAUCAGUGGCCCAGCGGCAUCCAUUGAGCAAUCAACACCAUUUCUCCCACAUCAAAUCAAGCACCACCACCACCACCGCCUCCUCAGCCACCACCGCCGUCACCGCUUCGGGAGCCAGAACCAGAACCACAGUCCCAGUCCAAAACACAGUCCAAACCACCACCACCACCGCGAAGACGAGGACUAGCCACAUCCACAACCACUGAGCCCCAUCGCCAACAAAUACCGGAAUCGGGUGGUGCAGCUGCUCGAAUUAUUUGGAAAACCCGCCGCGUAGUCCCUCAAUGAGCGUUUCGAUGUCACUGGUACAGGGUGGUGCUGCCGGUGGUGCGCCACAAGGCGCCAGCGCAAUCUUGGCCGCAGCGGCUCCCUACUAUCAACCGCCAGCCGUGCCCCAGGACGUCCAGCCGGAUCGUCCCAUCGGCUAUGGAGCAUUCGGAGUUGUCUGGGCUGUCACAGAUCCUCGGGAUGGACGACGCGUGGCCCUGAAGAAGCUGCCCAAUGUGUUCCAAUCGUUGGUCUCAUCGAAACGCGUUUUUCGCGAGCUGAAAAUGCUCUGCUUCUUCAAGCAUGAGAACGUUCUCUCGGCUCUGGACAUUCUACAGCCACCGCAUUUGGAUUUCUUUCAAGAAAUCUAUGUGAUAACGGAGCUGCUGCAAUCGGAUCUGCACAAGAUAAUCGUGUCGCCGCAGCACCUGUCCGCCGACCACAUCAAGGUGUUCCUCUACCAGAUCCUGCGCGGCCUCAAGUAUCUGCACUCGGCCCGCAUCCUGCAUCGCGACAUCAAGCCGGGCAACCUGCUGGUCAACUCGAAUUGCGUGCUCAAGAUCUGUGAUUUCGGACUGGCCCGCGUCGAGGAGCCGGACCAGGCCAAGCACAUGACCCAGGAGGUGGUCACCCAGUACUACCGGGCUCCGGAGAUCCUGAUGGGCGCCCGUCACUACUCGUCGGCGGUGGAUGUGUGGUCGGUGGGCUGCAUUUUCGGCGAGCUACUGGGCCGUCGCAUCCUCUUCCAGGCGCAAAACCCUGUGCAGCAGCUGGAGCUGAUCACCGAGCUGCUGGGCACACCGACCAUGGAGGACAUGCGGCACGCCUGCGAGGGCGCCCGCACCCACAUGCUGCGCCGGGCGCCCAAGCCGCCCUCCUUCUCGGUGCUCUACACACUCAGCUCGCAUGCCACGCACGAGGCGGUGCACCUGCUCUGCCAGAUGCUCGUCUUCGAUCCGGACAAGCGCAUUUCUGUGACAGAUGCCCUGGCGCAUCCGUAUCUGGACGAGGGUCGCCUGCGCUACCAUUCGUGCAUGUGCAAAUGCUGCUUCACUACCUCGGCCGGAAUGCGACAAUAUACGGCUGAUUUCGAGCCCUCCGCCGGCCAGCCCUUCGAUGAUCUAUGGGAACGCAAGCUCACAUCGGUGCAACAGGUCAAGGAGGAGAUGCACAAGUUCAUAGCCGAGCAGCUGCAAACAGGUCGUGUGCCGCUCUGCAUUAAUCCGCAGAGUGCGGCCUUCAAGAGUUUCGCCAGCCAAUGAGAAUGAGAAAAUCUACUACUACUACCACUACCACUACUACCACUACAACUUGCACUGCUGCUCCUGCCGCUGCUCCAAUCCGCCGCCGCCUACUGUUGCGCUGCCCUCGAGAACCGAUCCAGAUCCAGAUCGAGAUCGUUAUCCAGAUCAAGAUACUAGGCGCGCGAGAUCUCCUCUCACUAGAACGAAUCGAUAUACGAUCUAAUAACGCAGAAGUCACAAGAUACUAUCCGAAAUCUACCGAAUGAUUGAAGAAUGAAAAUGAUAUAAUGAAAAUGAAAAAUGCAAGCACAGCCAAGAUAAAGAUACAAUAAUACAGAUACAGAAAAUGAGGCCUCGGGGCGGCAACUGUCUCUCUACUCCUUCUUAGUUCGACCGUGGCACAUCCUUCGGAGCUGCCGCCCUCGCCUCAUCAAUGGGAAUGACGGCAAAAUGAGGCGAUUGCUGCCUAAAAUCGAAACAAAAGCAACACAGCCAAACGAUAGACCCUCGCCGUCGACAAAACGGAGGAGAGGAGUCGAUCCCCAGUCCAAAUAGAACCCUCAAAAACCCUCGAAAACCAACCCAACCCAACCCAGAGAUAACUCAGCCAGGAACAACGAUUGAAUAAUUUUUAAGCGCCAAACGGCUUUUGAGUGGGCGUUUGUCUGUUUGAAAGUUAAAGCAUUCCACCACCGAAAUUAACUAAAAGGAAAACAAACAAAUAUUUAAUAAUACUAUAGACAAACAAAUAUUGUAACGUAACUCAACUGAAACUAGUCUAAACAACAAAACUGUAGUUAAAGCAGCAGCAGCAGCGACACAAAACCAGCAAGUUUAAAGUGAAGGAGAAAUAUUACAAGAAUUAAUAUGAGAGAGGGAGCGAAGGAUAUUCUACGCACUAAAAGCAAAGCGUAGUUAAGAAAUAACAUUAGUUUUUUGGCAACAAAGCAGACAUAUUUUGUUGUGCUUGACAAGAAUUGGAAGAGUUAAUCGAAAAUUCGAAUUAAAUGCAAAUGCAAAAACAACACAAAAAUGUUUUAUGUUAAGCUCCUAAGAAAUCUAUGUAUAUGUAAAUUAAUUAGCAACACACACACACAGACAUCGUAUUCAUGAUAUACAAAUAUGCUUAACUCUUAAAUAUAUCGAUAUAUAUAUUUAAAAAUAAAAUAGUAACAAAAUGCACACAAAUCCAAAAUUUGUUUGCCAAAAUUUACCUCAAGCGAUAAACCUUUUCAUCCAUUAAAAGGAUAAUUUCAUUUUCUGUAUGCUUACGAAAAAUAUAUUAAACAAAAUGAUGUGUAGCUACAGCUAAAUGUGUACUAAGCGCUAAACAAAAACAAAUUUAUUUGAAAUUAUGCAAAUAUUUUCAUUUACACAAAACGUUUGAAGCUUCAAUUUUGAAACUGGUUUCUAGAUAUGUACUCUUAAUGCAUCUGACCACAAAAAAGGCGGUCAGGCCUAACUCAAUAUUAGGAAAAAAAGAUAAAUAUUUGAUGAAAUUAGUUCAAAGUUUCAAGCUUUUUAAACAUACUUUUCAUAAAUGUAAACUAACAAAUAAACAAAGGAAAAACCAACAAGUGGACGACGCACUGCCCCCAGUGAAUGGUUCGGGCGGAUCGAACCCAAAUGGACGGAGGGCUCGAUUUCCAUACUCAUCCUCGAAGUCCAAAGGCACCGCCCGGAUCAAUUCGAUUUUAGUUGAUAUGUAUACUUUGCUUUUAGUUGAUUACCAUGUAAUAUAGUUUAAUUUUCGACUAACUACACCUCUGUCUCUCUCAAUGCUCAUCGCUAUAGGCUAUAGCUAAGGUGCAGGACAGGAUCGGUUAUAGAGGAUCAAUUGCUAAGGCCUCGGCUGCCCAGAACAUUAUAUAUGUUUAAGACUGAGUUUUCUCAUUUGACGACGAUUGAAUGAUUGAGGAUAUGCAAUAUAAAAUUCACACAAUUCUUUACUUGAAAGGGUCAAAAUUAAUUUGAUGUAGCUUAAGCACUUAAACGAAAUUAAAAUUGUAUACCGUAUAUGUGUAUUUUGAAUGUCUUUUGUCUUCAAUGUUUAGAGCCAAAACAAUGCAUGAAAAUAUUUAAUCGAAAAAAACGACGAUGAAGUAGAAAAAGCUCUCGAAGAAGUUAAAACUGAAGCUAAACUUAACUUUCCUCUUCUUCAAUUCUCUUAACUGUGCUGCUUUCUUAUGUAUGUAGUUAUUAAUUAUAUAGCAUUAUAUAUAUUAACCGAUAUAUAUACAUGUAUGGAUUAGCGUAAAAACAAACGAAAACAAAACAAAAAACAAAUAUGAAUUCAAAACUUUCACGGAGAUCUCAUAGCAAAAACAAAACGAAAUGAAAGAAAAGAAAGGCAAAGGAAAUCGGUGUGCAAAAAGUAGAAUUUCUUUUCAACUUUUGUUUAUAACUAAAGUUUUUCUUAACCGUAAAUAUAUAGAGUACAGAUUAGAGAUUACCGAUUACCUAUUGUUUUCCCCUCAUUUGACCAGAGACCGACACAGAGACACACUCGAAUGCAAGUUAAAUUGACAACUACAUUAACAUCAUUUACAUGUCUAAGCACAUACUCCACAUAGAGGUACAUAUAUAAAUAUAGCUACGCAUACCGAUAGUUAGUUUUCGGUUCGGUUUAGGCACCGUGUACAUAGCAUUAUCUCCACACCCCCACCAAUAAUUAGCCCACAUCUCUCUCUAGCUCAGUAAGACGGUUAGCUAUGCGGUAAUACGAGUACGAUAAGAAAUGGACAUGUACAUUAUACUACACACAUAGCACAACCCUCGAUUGGAGCAGGUCUGAACUAAAAUAUAAUAAAGCAAAUCACACUCGAUAUAUAGCCUAUAUAGGAUGUAUGAUUUGGAAGAGAGCGACUUGGGUCGCCGAAACCUCCCGUUCGAAAUGAGUUCAUUAGUUAAGAUCAACUGUAACUGUAAACUGCAUUAGUAUUUGACUUGUAAACCGAUUAUGGAUCAUUCUUAACUAUAUAUAUUAGAUACGUAUUAUGCAUUAAUUUACGUUAACUGAGAAUAAAACAAAAAAUUGUGUAAACUGUUUGUAUAAAAAAAAUAAGAACUAAACAAAAAAAGAAGAAAACGAA